rnacentral:rRNA from 1 species
CACUCCUACGGGAGGCAGCAGUGGGGAAUUUUGGACAAUGGGCGAAAGCCUGAUCCAGCAAUGCCGCGUGAGUGAAGAAGGCCUUCGGGUUGUAAAGCUCUUUUGUCAGGGAAGAAACGGUGAGAGCUAAUAUCUCUUGCUAAUGACGGUACCUGAAGAAUAAGCACCGGCUAACUACGUGCCAGCAGCCGCGGUAAUACGUAGGGUGCAAGCGUUAAUCGGAAUUACUGGGCGUAAAGCGUGCGCAGGCGGUUUUGUAAGUCUGAUGUGAAAUCCCCGGGCUCAACCUGGGAAUUGCAUUGGAGACUGCAAGGCUAGAAUCUGGCAGAGGGGGGUAGAAUUCCACGUGUAGCAGUGAAAUGCGUAGAUAUGUGGAGGAACACCGAUGGCGAAGGCAGCCCCCUGGGUCAAGAUUGACGCUCAUGCACGAAAGCGUGGGGAGCAAACAGGAUUAGAAACCCGUGUAGUCCCA